AACAUUUUGAGUUUCACAUGUCGGCUGGAGCCGAGCUGUUUUGCUACAGAGCAUUAUGUCGUUUUGUAUGAAGUGUGCAGUGCCAUAGUAUGACAUAAAAUCCAACCUCUAGCACGAUCUUCAGAACAACCCUCUUCUGAUUCGUCUUCAAGUUUCCGUUGGUUUCCAUGGUUUUGCAAAUACCCAAACGUAUGUGUAAUUGAAACUGCAAGGCAUGGAUGCUGUAUGUUUGACUGCUCAACAAUGCGACGAGAAAGAGUCAGAUUCAUAGAUGGCGAAAAAGGUAGAAAGAAACAAAAUUCCCGGGUCAAAACCAAUGAAUAGUCAUUUCCGGUAACUGCAGCCUUGAAUUUACAUGUAAAAGCUAGCUUAUCAUCUUAACAAAAUUAAAGUAUGUACAAAUGGAUGUCAAUCGAAUGUUCAAUAGUUUUUUUUUGUUUUUUUUUUAAUAAUGGUAUGAUAUUAAAAUGCUUAUUUUUCAAUAUAAAUUGCAUCAUCAAAAUUUCAAAUAUGAUUAAAUCUAGACCAAUUAGUUCAAGAUUUAAAAAAAAAAUCCUUAUAUAUGUAAUUAUACUAAAGAUGCCUAGAUAAAUUAUUGCUUAAAUUUAUUUAGAAAUAUUCUUUGAAAAACAGCCAAGCUCAUGAAAAAAAGAAGAAAUUAAAAAAAGGAUAAAUAAAUGAAAUGCUAAACGCUUGCUCUAAAAAUACUGCAGGUACAAUUUCACAGGUAAGAUUUGCCCGGCCAAUUUGUUAUACAAUACUUGUAUGUGUCAUGGUGGUAUAUCUCUUAAAAAAUCACAAAUCACAAUAUAUUUGUUAAACAAUAUUCAAAAUUUGCUCAGUAGUGUUAAGAGAGAGAGAGAGAGAGAGAGAGAGAGAGAGAGAGAGAGAGAGAG